rnacentral:tRNA from 52 species
CCGGAGCUAUCAACCACUCAGCCAUCUCUCC